rnacentral:misc_RNA from 1 species
CCACCUCACCCUUCUCAAUG